rnacentral:rRNA from 1 species
CUCCUAAGGCUAAAUACUCUCUAGUGACCGAUAGUGAACCAGUACCGUGAGGGAAAGGUGAAAAGCACCCCGGAAGGGGAGUGAAAUAGAACCUGAAACCGUGUGCUUACAAGUAGUCAGAGCCCGUUAAUGGGUGAUGGCGUGCCUUUUGUAGAAUGAACCGGCGAGUUACGAUUUGAUGCAAGGUUAAGCAGUAAAUGUGGAGCCGUAGCGAAAGCGAGUCUGAAUAGGGCGUUUAGUAUUUGGUCGUAGACCCGAAACCAGGUGAUCUACCCUUGGUCAGGUUGAAGUUCAGGUAACACUGAAUGGAGGACCGAACCGACUUACGUUGAAAAGUGAGCGGAUGAACUGAGGGUAGCGGAGAAAUUCCAAUCGAACCUGGAGAUAGCUGGUUCUCUCCGAAAUAGCUUUAGGGCUAGCCUCAAGUGAUGAUUAUUGGAGGUAGAGCACUGUUUGGACGAGGGGCCCCUCUCGGGUUACCGAAUUCAGACAAACUCCGAAUGCCAAUUAAUUUAACUUGGGAGUC